rnacentral:rRNA from 1 species
CUACGGGGGGCUGCAGUGAGGAAUCUUGCGCAAUGGGGGAAACCCUGACGCAGCAACGCCGCGUGAGUGAAGAAGGCUUUCGGGUCGUAAAGCUCUGUCAGGUGGGAAGAAAUACUUGACGCUAAUAUCGUCAGGGGCUGACGGUACCACCAAAGGAAGCACCGGCUAACUCCGUGCCAGCAGCCGCGGUAAUACGGAGGGUGCAAGCGUUGUUCGGAAUUACUGGGCGUAAAGAGCGUGUAGGCGGUCGAUUAAGUCAGGUGUGAAAGCCCUUGGCUCAACCAAGGAAGUGCAUCUGAAACUAGUCGACUUGAGUACGGGAGAGGAGAGUGGAAUUCCUGGUGUAGAGGUGAAAUUCGUAGAUAUCAGGAGGAACAUCGGUGGCGAAGGCGACUCUCUGGACCGAUACUGACACUGAGACGCGAAAGCGUGGGGAGCAAACAGGAUUAGAUACCCGGGUAGUC